rnacentral:rRNA from 1 species
UACGUAGGGUGCGAGCGUUAAUCGGAAUUACUGGGCGUAAAGCGUGCGCAGGCGGCGCGUUAAGACAGGUGUGAAAGCCCCGAGCUUAACUUGGGAACUGCGCUUGUGACUGGCGUGCUGGAGUGUGGCAGAGGGAGGUGGAAUUCCACGUGUAGCAGUGAAAUGCGUAGAGAUGUGGAGGAACACCGAUGGCGAAGGCAGCCUCCUGGGCCAGCACUGACGCUCAUGCACGAAAGCGUGGGGAGCAAACAGG